UCCGGUUUGUCACCGGCAGUCCCAUUAGAGUGCUCAACUUAAUGUGGCAACUAAUGGCAAGGGUUGCGCUCGUUGCGGGACUUAACCCAACAUCUCACGACACGAGCUGACGACAGCCAUGCAGCACCUGUGCAGGAUCUCCGAAGAGGGGCUCUCGUUUCUGAGAGCUUGCUCCUGCAUGUCAAGCCUAGGUAAGGUUCUUCGCGUUGCGUCGAAUUAAACCACAUGCUCCACCGCUUGUGCGGGCCCCCGUCAAUUCCUUUGAGUUUCAACCUUGCGGUCGUACUCCCCAGGCGGGGUACUUCCUGCGUUAGCGCCGGCACCCAGAUUGCUCCGAACAGCUAGUAUCCAUCGUUUACGGCGUGGACUAC
rnacentral:misc_RNA from 1 species